AGACUGUAAUAAUUUUAUCCCCGAUGACCAUCCCGCCACCUUAUCUGCAGCUCUGUGCUUGUCAAAAUCGUCGUAUAACGACAUUUUCGAGAUGGAAUUGCGAGAAAAUUCAAACCAGAGAGGAUUGACUAAAGUCGAGGCUCAGUUCUAGGCAUUUGAGUGACCCCACCACCAUUCUAGAAUCUCACCCCAAGGGAGAGAGAGGGCGCCACACGCAAUGCGCUGGCGUGUCUGCCCGUCAGCCGACUCGGUAACAGCCUCAGUAGCAGUCCCGCUGUCAGAGGGAGCAGUUGAACGGACUUUUGGAGAUUAUAGCCUCCGAGAAGUCGAGUUGGUCGAACAAAACAAUUGCAGCAGUCGAAUUCAAAAUCCACUAUUGGAACAUCGAAUUGCAGUCAAUUAUCUCAAUCACCACUAAUUUCGGUUUUCACGACGGAUGCGCAGUUCUCCAGGUAGCAGAGAAAAAGAAUAUCAACGACGAUGGCAUGACUCGUGGAGAAAACAUAAACCACUGGAGAAGUCGGUAAAUAAACGUCCAUACCCUCCUCCAGGAGGCCUCCACCACUUGUCAAAUGCGCCUACACCUGGAUAACAGCUAGAAUCCACAUUUUCAGACAACUCCAAGAAAAUAAUUAUCAUAAAUACAUGAUAUGAACUAAUUAUAAUAUGUAAAAUUGAAUUGUAUCGUUUUCGUAAUGAAUGUUUAUAAAUAAAAACAAAAAAACGGAAUGAAUCAU